AACAGCGAAAGCAAAAGUGGUUCGGCACAGACAUUGUUUAAAAUGGCUGCGUUAAAAAUACCAUCUCGGCUUCACAGAUUUCUGGAGCUGUGAGGAGCAUCCUCAUUUAUGUGCUCUGAUGAAGAUCCAACUAGCACAAUGUCAAUGAUGAAAUGGACCAGUGUCAUAUUCUGCGGGAUAUCAAGGCAAUCAAGAUCAUCUUGGACUGUAUUGUGACAGAGGGCCAGGGAGUGAACAGAGCCCUUAUAAUGACAGAUCUCAUAUAUCGCAGCAACAAAGAUGGCCCCCAGGAGUUCCAUGGACCCUUAUUUCUCAUCAUUUAGAAGGAGAAAGCACCUCUUUCCUCAGUUCCUCUCUUCAGGACUCCCAGUACCCCUGCUUCUGGUGACAGCCCAUGGCAGGUGGGGAGGACGUGCAGAUGGAAAGAAUGAGAAGGGCAGGUUUGGGCCCUCAUGGGUGACAGAAAAGUACCAGAGUUCUGGUUCCUCUUUGAACACACAUGUUCUCUGGGUUUCGCCUUGCAGCCCAAGAAGAGAGGAGGCUUGGAAUCACCACACUUCCCACAGCAAGGGCAAUCUUUAAAGGCAGUAAGGUGUGACGCUCCAGACUGGCAGCUUGGCAAGACAGAGCCCAUGGAUACCAGCACACGGGAAUCUGGACGGCUCACUCUGACAGCAGUCAGCACUGGGAACAAAAGGAAUGGAGGGAAAAAAGCGCAAAUGUAUUUUUACAUAUUGUAGGCAUAUGGCCACAAGACCAGCAGAAAUAUAUUUAAUUACCAAUUGCACGCAUUGAGGAGAAAAACACUGGAAAUGGGGGAAAAACUGUAUACACAGCAAUAUUAUUCUAAUUUAACUUUUCACCUCAGUUUUUUUUUUCUUUCUUUAAUUGAAAAUGGAAGGGAAUGUGGGUUGGAAUCGCAAAGGGUUAUCUUCUGGAAUUCUAUCAAAGGUGAUGUGGGAUUUUGACAUGCCUUCUUUAACAGCAUAACAUUAUAGAAAGAAAUAGGAAAGUUUUCUUUUAGUUAUUUUAAUUAUGAAAUAAUUUGACCAAGGCGUUUUGGGGGAGUGGGGCAGACCGGAUUUGAAAUAUAACAGUUAGACAAUCUUACUGUCAUGUUAAAACUGUACUUUUGAUGUUACACAUUAGGCCUCAACAAUUAAUAACCUAAUCUUGAAAAAUUAUAUUCUUGUUCUUUUCUAUGAAAGCAGAAUACUUCAACCCCAUUUAUUGUCAGGUAUUGUCCUAGCCAGUGGAGGUACAGAGGUGAAUCAGAUGUCAUCCCUGCACUGAAGAAGCAUAGCCUAGGCUGGGAGACAAAUACACAUAUAUAUAAUUAUAAUGUUAUACCAUUAAAUUAUUAAAUAUGUGAAAAUUAUCAUUAGCUAAAAUCACAAUUAUAAUACACAUAAUACCAUCUAUAUAAGGCAAUGAUGUAGCUAUAUGAAUCCAGGGGCCAUAGAGGAUUGACUCUUAGUUCAGUCUGGGUGUCAGUCACACUGGAGGACCAGGGAGGAGACCUCUUCCAGGAAAAGCUGAUGAAAAGGAUCAGUGAGAAAAAGCCCGGGAAGAAGGCAGUUGCAUUUUGCAGAAUGAAGGAGUUUGGGCCAGUGUGAGCCAGCUCCCUUCCUAGGGUGCCGGCUCAGGGAGUCAGGUAAUGGGGCCAGGGAAACGUGUGCCCACUGACUUGGGAAAGAGAGAGGGGCCCAUACCUCCUUCUUGGCAGGAAAGAAAAUCACAGCCCCGAAAAAGUAACUUGCCAGGAGCCCCCUUCUUUGUAGCAUUCCUAUCACUGACUUCCUGUUAGCCUGGGUCUCCUGUUCUCACCCUGCUCUUUGAAAUCCUUGGUGGCCAGUGCCGGCUAUGUAGGUGACCUGUGCUCCCUGGUCCCAUGGAGGUUCUGCCCAGCUGACCAGCCUUGCAGUCUGUUUCUGCAGCCCAGAUAAUGGUUCAGAGGCAUGUUAAUGUGUGCUUUGCUUUAUGUAGCAAAUAUCAUCUUGAAAAGUUUUUUUGUACAUUUACUUUUUUUUUGUAAAGCGACCUACAUAAUAAAAGCACUAGGGGAGCUGGUUAUUUAAAGGAACCCUGUAGUGAAUCUUUUCAUAAUGUAGAAGCCAUUCCUUAAUUAAUCUUUGUUUUUCAUCAGACAUACCUGUGCCUCUGUGGCUUUUCUUUUUUUUUUUUUCUAAGAGGAAGCGGCCUAGGCUAUAGUGCCAAGUGCGUGAGACUGAGGGCCAGGGCUUCCAGAGCGCAUGCUGAGCUGUUGCUGGCUGCCACUGGGUUGAGGAUGUGAGCAUAACCUUGGGGUCAGUUCUAUCUUCUGACAAAGGCACAAUCAAAUGGGCUUAGGUUCAAAUCCGGGUUUUACCAUCCAUCGACUUCAUUUGGCAAUUCACUUGUUUCCUUGAAUGUUAGUUCUUUACCCAUGUACUGGGUGGUUACAUACGUCAAAUCAAAAAGUUUCUCCGAGGGCCUGGCAUCAUAGCUAUGACUAAGGGUUUGCUUGCCCCCACUCCAAUUCUACUCUGCUCCACUCUGCAACAGCCCCUUGGAGCAAGAGCCACAGCUGGACUUGUUGGGAGGAAAUACUUGUUAACUUGGGACCUCCCUGCAACUGUUUCCUCAGAGGAGAGGAAAUGCCCACUCUACUCCCCAGGAGGAAGGUGGAUAAAAGACAAUAUUUUAGACUAUUCUUUACCCCUGGUUACCCAUGGUAAAAAGUGAUUGAUCUUAAUAGUAAAGUUUCAGAUACAGCCAUCUUGGGCAGGUCUGUACAUUCAAGUAUGGUAGUAUGGGCUGCCCUCCCCCACCGCCACACCCUCAGACAGGCCCAUAUGUUUUAAAUUGAUCCAAAUCUGCUCUUUUUUUCCAUAUCUGAGCCCACCCCUGUGGCUCUUCAGGAGCUUUUGGUCUGAGCAAGGGUCCCACAGCCUCCCCUGAUCCUGUUUCAUCAGUUAUAAACCUGUUGGAACAUUGUGUCUGCUCAGCUUGCUAGAACUUUUUACCUCCCUAUCCUCUAGCUGCUGGGGAGGGCAGACACCUGCUUGGCACCACACAUGCUUUCCGGUCAUCUGGUCACCUGUGGGCCUGCAGCUAGGGUGGUGGUUGUGGCUGGAGCUUAGAGCCACAUCCAGUGAGGGUCACAGAGCUCCUCAGAGAAGUGCUGGGAGUGAGACUCCAACCCGCCCCAGCACUGAGGUGGGGUUGAGGGAUGUGGCUGAAUGACCAAGGGGAUGGCCAUAGACUCUAUCCAGGAAGAGAAAUCCCAAGGGCAGGCAGGUUAACCUGUCCCCACAAACUCAUGUCCAGGCCCUGGGGUUCCCAACCCUGACUGAUGAGAACCGACAGCUAUACCCUUUUGGUUGGCAUUUCUGAGAAUUGCGUGGACAAUUCUCUUCUCUUUUCUUACUGAAGGAAGGACAGAUAUAGAGGUGGUUCUAACUCUGGUGCUGGUAUAUUUGUGACUAUCACUGGGAUCAUAUUACCAGAGUAAGUUUGACCAAUUUGGAGAAUUGGCCUUGGAGAGGUCAACACUUAAGAGAAAGGCCAAGGCCAUGGCCUGGCUCAAAUGGAUCCCAUUUCUUGCACAUGAGUUACACUGACUCAGUUAUUGGAGAGCCCUCUUGUGCUUGGGUAGGAAUUUGAAAUGUUGAAGUAGUCAUGGGUUAGGGACCUGCUGCUAAUGACCCUCCUGUAACCCAAACUUAAGAUACUUCUGGAAAAUAGACUACAUCAGAAGACUUCUAAGGUCCCUCAUUCACUCAUUCAUCUAUUCUUUUAUCUGGGAUUUAUCAGGGACCUACCAUGUACCAGGUUCUAUACCACCUGUUGGAGAAACAAUGGUGAAUGAGUCCCUGCACUUCCAAGGCUUGCAGUCCAGUAGUAGAGAGGCAAGUGAAGACAAUUAACUCGGUAUGAGAAGCACAAAAGAUAGAUAGGGGAGCACAGACCAGGGACAGCACACCCAGUUUAGAGGGACUGGGAAACAUUUCUGGAGAAAAUGAUCAGUAAUGUUAGGUGUUUUUGUCCAGGAAAGGCUGAGGGGGGUGACAACACCCUUCCAAGAAGGCUUGCACUGUGAACAACACUGAAGUGACUUGCCCAGGGGCACUCUAUAAGUAGCAGAGCCUGGAUUGUUCAAAAGUGAAACCCUACGUUCUUAGUCACGUUGCUCCACUGUCAAUAUUGAAAUGAUUAUUCAAGAGGCCCAACUAUUGAUUAUAAACAAUAGUGCAUUGCAGAUCUGGCUGCUUUCUUGGCCAUGUGGGGCUUUGAGCUCUAGCCCCUAAAUCAGCAGAGAAAACACAAUCCAGCCACAGAUGGUGGCUCACACCUGUAAUCCUAGCACUUUGGGAGGCUAAGGCGGGUGGAUCACCUGAGGUCAGGAGUUCGACACCAGCCUGGCCAACAUGGUGAAACCCGUCUCUACUAAAAAUACAAAAAAAUUAGCUGAGCGUUGUGGCAGGCACCUGUAAGUCUCAGCUACUUGGGAGGCUGAGGCAGGAGAAUCGCUUGAACCCAAGAGACAGAAGUUGAAGUGAGCAGAGAUUGCACCACUGCACUCUAGUCUGGGUGACAGAGUGAGACUCUGAAAAAAAAAAGAAGGAAGAAAGGAAGGAAGGGAGAAAGGAAAGAGAGAAAAGAAAGAAAGAAAAAGAAAGAGGGAAGAAAGAAAAAGAAAGGAAAGAAAAAGAAAGAAAAGAAAAAGAAAGAAAAAAGAAAGAAAAAGAAAGAAAGAAAAAGAAAGGAAGAAAGAAAGGAAGAAGAGAAGAAAGGAAGAAAGAAAGGAAAGAAAGAAAGAAAGAAAGAAAGAAAGAAAGAAAGAAAGAAAGAAAAAGAAAGAAAGAAAGAGAAAGAAAGAAAAAGAAAACACAAUCCAAACUAUUGAGUAGUCAGGGGAGUUAGGCAGGAACAAUACCGAUGUUGUCUGGACCCUGAAUAACAUAUUCCAAACAACUUUCUCAUUGCCUAAGUAAGUCGAAAGUACUGUUUUGCAAUUUGGUUGCAGUGUGCAAGUUUGGUUGAUUUCAUGUGUCUUAAAGAAUUAUGCUCUGUAGACACCAUGUGAUUACUUUUUAAAGUGAAGUGAAGUAAGAGUGAUACUUAAUAUCACAGUAUUAGGGCAAUGCCUUUAUAAAUUAGAUGCCUACUUUAAAAUUUAUAAAAUUGUGGCACCAAAUAUAUGUACAGUCAACCUGCUGUAUCUGGAGGUUCCACGUCUGUGGAUUCAACUAAUCAUGGAUUGAAAACAUUUUUACAAGAUGGCUGGUCAUGUCUGUCCUGAACAUGUAUGAAAUUUUUUAUUGUUAUUCCCUAAACAAUAUAGUAUAGCAACUAUUUACAUAACAUUUACACUGUAUUAGGCAUUACAAAUAAUUUAGAGAUGAUUUAAAGUAUACAGGAGGUUGUGCAUAGGUUGUAUGCAAAUACCAUGCCAUUAUACAUGAGAGACUUAAGCAUCUGUGGAGUUUGAUAUUAGCAGUAGGUCCUGGAAUCAAUCCUCCAGUGAUACUAAGGGAUAACUGUAUAUUCAUAUUCUGUCUCCUGGAAAGAUAUAAAAUGUCUCACAACAAAAGUAAUUUUUUUUAAAAAUUAAGAUUCAAGGAAGUAACACUAGGAAGUUCAAUUUGAAUGGAAUAUACAUAAAAUUUAUUUCUGGGUUCCCUGGGAGCCAAAGCAAAAAGGGAAACAUGAAAAAAAUGCAUAAUUUUUUUUUAUCAAAAAGGAGAAAGCAGAUUCACUCCCCCUGGAAAAAAAAGUGUUUGCAAAGACAAAAAUUCUAAAAAUAGUAAUUUAACAUAGACUUAACCUUUGGAAGAAAGAAGAAACAAUUCAAGGUGUUUGUAAUGUAAUGGAUUAUCAUAUAAUCAAGAACUAUGAUGAAAUAGAGAACACUCUUUCCUUUAAACCUAGAACAGAGAAAGAAUUCCUAUCAGAGAACUAUUAAUGGAAAGUCAGAACCACUAGGCUCUGAUGUGCAGAUCUAGGUUCAAAAUGCAGCGCUUAUUUAUCUAUUUAGUUAUGUGUUUAUGAGGCAACUAUUUGUUGAUUACCUAGUCUGUGCCAUUCAUGUUUCUAGGGCUGUGAUGGAGUGAUGAAAAAGAAAAAGUCCCUGCUCAUAAUUCACAUAAUGACUCCAGCACAUUAAUAUAAAAUUUUACAGUUUUAAUUGUCACAUGAUGUGUGAUGGAUGAAUUAUGAGUUAAUCAACUUACAUGAUACUUUAUGGUUUGCAAAAUGUUUUCACACAUCAUUACAACCCAAAUCUCCUUGCAGAAGCAUGGGGACAUUCUAGACAUAGCUCAACAUUCAAAUUUGGACUAAUGCUCCUGGUUAAGGAGUCUUGAUAUAUCAUGAAAGUAUUGGUUGUGCUUAUAUUUUUCCAUUAAAAAGGAUAUGCUUAAGAGCCCAUUUCAGUAAUUAGGAAGAAAGUUAGCUAGCAAAUGCCACAAGAGACUUUAACAUACCUUGAUGUGCUUAAGAGUUGAACAUUGCACUCAGUGACACUUAGUUUAAUGAAUAUCACAAUUUUCUUCACAUCCCAUGAAGCAUUGCAGGACUUUUGGCAAAAUGUGAGGUCCUUCUGCUAGGCACAGCUAGGAAAUACUAAUAACUGUUAAAUGAGAACCUCUUGUUCCUAUCUUAAGGCAAUGACAUCAUUCAUAUGGUUCACUCAGCCUCUCAGGCCUUUUAUUCUCCUCCUUCAGCAUGCCUAUUGCAUACAAUAGGUAAAGAAUUCUCCUUCUUUUCCAGUUAAUUAACCCACCUGCUAAUAAUACUCUUCUGUCCUUGAUUGAUUCAGAGCAACCUCCAGCUGUCAGCCUCCUAUCUAGUCAGAAGCUUUUGAUGAUGAAAAUGGAGUCCAUAAGAAAGAAAUGGGCUACAAAUAUUAAGUGCAGGCAGGCAAGGUGCAAGUAGGGUGAUAUCUUAUCCCAGUUUGCCCAGAAUUUUAUGCUUUUAGUGCUGAAGAUCCCAAGUCCUGGGAACCCACUAAAUAGGACUAGGAAUUGUUCCCCUAAGUGCAGGGAAUCAUCUCUAUAGUCAAACAGCAACAAAUGAGUAAACAUGAGGGGGCAGGUAACAGCAGAUGUUUUAGUUUGGAUUCCUCCAAUAGCAGGCUCUAAGUCUAGGAUUCCAUGCAAGUGGUUUACUGGGAGAUGAUCCUAGGAAACAGUGGUAGGGGAGAAGAGAAAUGAGAUAGGAAAGCAAUUGCCACUGUGGGCAUCUGGAACCUAUUCCUACUGAGAAACACUGAGAGUAGUGCAAUACAUGUGCCUUUGAGCCAUGCUGCCUGAGGGGAAUUGGAGUUGGGGUAACUACCAGUUGUUAGUUGAAGUCUGUUCUUAGUGGUGGAGGCGGAGUUUGCUAAUUGUGCCUGCUGAGCCUAUGGGCAGAGUGGACCUCAAUUUUCCGAGAAAGUUCUCCAACCAAAAGAUGCAGAUGCUGCAGGUAGAAGCUGUGCUAUAUUGCACACUGAAAUGGUAAGGUAGGACAGUGAUGAUGCUGUUACAAUGGGUCUACAUUGUUUUCCAGGUCAACUCAUUCUACAGCACUGACUGGCUAACUCUUCCCUGUGUGGACACAGCUUCUUUGGUAAUAUAAGAAAAAAACAUGUGUGCUAGAUAUGGGGGAGAGUAAGGAUUUGAGUGGAUAUUUGAAAGGCAGAUGAGUUUGAUGCCUUGGAAUCAUGCCUAAUAUAUGUUCUUUUCAUUCGUGAUUAUCAUAUAGCCAAACUAUAGAUAUGUGGGAUUAGUAGUCUCCAAUAAGGCCACUUCCAAGUAGUCUUCCAAGUAGCCUUCAAUCAUACCACUUCAGGCAUUAAUUCUAUUAGUCUGAAUGAUUUGGGCAGAUGAGACUUUUGAACACCACUUGGUCUUACCAUGGCUUAUGAGGCCUCAUUAUCAUAAAAAGUAGACUUGUUCUUUCACUUAUAUCUUUCUCUGAGCCAUUAUAAACCAUUUUAUUAUUUCUGUCUUUGAGCUGAACAAAGUUGUCUCUCAGGUCUCCUAUAGAAAUAUCUAGAACAUGACCUCCUUCUGAAGUUUGUAAUGUAUUCAGAGUGGAAUGCGAUGGUAAGCUGUGCACCUGGGUAUACAAGCAAGGUACUUGGAGUUGAUGGGUGAGCUACAUUCAGCCUCAUUCAGCCCUGAAGACCAAGAUUGUUCAUCUUCCAGCUGACCUGACAAGCACCUCUGCCAAAUAGAGAUUAUUGAAUCUGGAUAGACGCUGAAGAGUCAAUCAGAUUGUUGUUCAAGGAGUUUAGCAAAGACAAUUGGUGAACAGAAGCCAUAUGUAAUUAAAAGCCUCACUGUAGGGAGAGACCAGUGUGAGAAUUGCUUGGUUGUGGUGGAGAGAUCUUAGGCACAAAUGCAGAGCAGUUGUGUGGAGCUGUGGUCAUGACAGACGGUCUUUGGAAUGAGAAGCAAUGUUUCCCUGCCAUGGAGAGGAAAAGGAAACCAGGUGGCUCAACCUGGCUUGUGUCUUAAAAGUCAACCCAGCAUCUAUGAGUCUGCCUCUGAAGCUAUUGGGACACUCUUCUGUAUUCUUCAGUUCCCACGUGCAGCCUUAUGAGAAAUAGUUAAUUGUCUCCACCAACCCGAAAUAACCCAACUAACGUAUCUUUUAAGUAUUUGAAAUCACCACUCACCUGUCUCUGACUUAGGCUAAACAAUUUUAAUUCCAUUAUUUUUUAUUUUUACCAUUUAAACAUUAGUUUAAUUUUAAUUUUUUUUUUUCGGAGAUGGGGUCUUACUCUGUCGCCCAGGGCUGGAGUGCAGUUGCACAUGGCUCACUGCAGCCUCAACCUCCUGUGUUUAAGCGAUCCUCCCUACCUCUAGCCUCCUGAGAAGCUGGGACCACAGGCAUGUGCCAGCAUGCCCUGCUAAUUUUUACUUUUUUAUUUUUGUAGAGAUGCAGCCUCCUUAUGUUGCCCAGGGCUGGUCUCAAACUCCUGGGCUCAAGUGAUUCUCCUGCCUCGGCCUCCCAAAGUGCUGGGAUUAUAGGCAUGAGCCACUGCACCUGGCCUUAUUUUGAAUUUGAAGACUUAUACAUUCAAUUCAGCCUCUUCAAGUCCUCCUACCUAGGAGGCACUGGGGAGUAGACUAGCAUGAGAUAUGAGACUUAGGGUCAGAAAUACAUAGAUUCCAAGCUUGGCCCAGCAGUCCACUUUAAAUGUGCAUAUGGGCAAGCUACUUAACUUCUCUGAAGCUUAAAUGAGAAUUAUAUUUAUAAUUAACAAUAUUAUUAUUACCCCCACAAAAAAUAAGAUACGUGAAAAUCUUUUUCUCUACCCUUCCUUGCCCUCAGAUAUAUUCUAUGAAAGACUGAGAUUUGUUAUCUUAUAAAAUAGAAUCUAAUAAAGAAAAUAAAAGAGUAGGAAUUAAAAACAUGAUAAAUGGAGAAUAAUAAGUGAAGAAAGCCAAUAUUAUUUGAGCUACAAACUUAAUAGUGAGCUUCUUGGAAAUGAACAAAAGCAAAAUGCAAUAGUCACAUCCUACUCUAAUAAAAUGAAAUAUAAAAUUUUAUAAAGUAAGAAAUAUGAUUUUUAGUUUACCUGUAAUGUGAAUUGUUACAUUGGUUCUGUUUUAAGAGACAUUGAAACAGACAGCAGAAAUUUUAUAGUAGACAGAGAAAGGACCUCUGUAUCCUAUUUCUUUUAUUAACUGCAAAUUAAAAGCUAUGCAUGUAGAGUUGUGUUGGAGGUUUCUUGAAGGUAUUUUCAUAGACAGAUGAGAGAAGAUAUAGCCAAGGUAGCCAAGACAUGUUUUUUCUUUUCUUUUCUUUUCUUUUUUCUUUUUUCUUUUUGGGCGACAGGUUCUCACUCUGUUGCCCAGGCUGGAGUGCAGUGGCGCGAUCAUAGCUCACUGCAGCCUCAACAUCCUGAGCUCAAGCCAUCUUCCCAUGCAAGCCCCCCAGUAGCUGGGACUACAGGCAUGUGCCAGCACACCUGGCUAAUUUUUUAUUUUUAGUUUUUGUAGAGACGAGGUCUCACUACGUUGCCCAAGCUAGUCGUGAACUCCUGGACUCAAGGGAUCCUCCCACCUCAGUCUCCCAAAGUGUUGGAAUUACAGGCAUGAGCCACUUCCUGGCCAAGGCAUGUGUUUUCUAAUAAAAGUGAAUAAAUGUAGCAACACAGCAUGAAGGAUCUAGAGUAAUUGUUUAUGUCCUUUCUCUGUUUUCAAAUAUGAAUUGCCUUGGUUUAUUUUCAUAUUGCACUAGCUUCCUAACUGGUCUCCUUGCUGCAAUCUUGCAUGCCGUGAGUCUUUUCUCUAUGAGGCAGCCAGGACAAUAUUUCUAUUUUGUUGUGUCACUUGCUGGUUUUAAGCUAUUUCUACGGUCCACUCCUAAAUUCUUGAAGUUUUUCAGAUAUGCCAUGUAGUUCCCCCUUUGCACAUUCUCCUUUUCCUGGAAUACCAUCGCUAUUGUCAACUAGAUUGCCAGGUUAAUAUAAUCCUUUGGAAGUCAGAUCAGACAUCGCUACUUCUAGAAAAACUUAACCACCCCAACCUUGUCUGAAUUUGUUUCCUCUCCUCUGUGUUCUUAAGCAUUCUACUACACAGUAUUGUUAUUUUGUAUUUACCUGUCUAUAAGUCAGAGGCACCAUUGUCAGAUCUUCAUCAAGCCUUCUGUGUUGGCAGAGUCCUGUUAUAUAGGAGGGGCUUAAUACAUAUUUCUUAAGUGAGCGAAUGACUUAGUAGGAGCUGGCUUUCAAACCAAUAGUCAAUGUCAUGUUAAUAACCAAUGAACAUUUUCCCAAAGUAUGUUUCAGAAAACACUGCUUCUGAGAAAUAUUAUAGGUGUCCUGGACAGAACACUUCCAUAGUUAAGGAAGUAGAAAAUGCUGCAUGUUCUAUCUCUCCAAAAAGUCGCUAUUUUCAUUAGAAUAUUAAAGGCUCUGGCAUGUUUUUCAAUUAAUAAACUUAUUUACUAUAUAUUUUUCUUACUUUUGUGUGUGUGUGAUUGUGUAGUACCUGUUGGAACUAAUUACUUACGACAAAAACAGCUUGAAAAACCUUGCUCUGCAGGCUUUACUUAAAAUUCGGAAAUCAGAUCAAGCACUGUAGCUC
rnacentral:lncRNA from 1 species